rnacentral:tRNA from 1 species
AAAGUAUUAGUAAAAAAAUUACAUUUUACUGUCAGUGAAAAAUUACAAUAGUAUACUUUUAU